rnacentral:rRNA from 1 species
UCAGGAAUAUUGGUCAAUGGACGCAAGUCUGACCCAGCCAUGCCGCGUGAAGGAUUAAGGUCCUCUGGAUUGUAAACUUCUUUUAUUUGGGACGAAAAAGGGCCUUUCUAGGUCAACUGACGGUACCAGAUGAAUAAGCACCGGCUAACUCCGUGCCAGCAGCCGCGGUAAUACGGAGGGUGCAAGCGUUAUUCGGAAUCAUUGGACGUAAAGGGUGCGUAGGUUGUACAUUAAGUCUGUUGUUAAAUUUCUCGGCCUAACCGGGAACCUGCAGUGGAAACUAGUGUACUAGAGGAUGGAAGAGAGAAGUGGAAUUCUCGGAGUAGCGGUAAAAUGCGUAGAUCUCGAGAGGAACACCGAUGGCGAAAGCAGCUUCUUGGUCCAAUCCUGACACUGAUGCACGAAAGCGUGGGGAGCAAACAGG